rnacentral:rRNA from 1 species
UGCGCAGGCGGCGUCGCAAGUCAGGCGUGAAAUCCCCGGGCUUAACCUGGGAACUGCACUUGAAACUACGAUGCUGGAGUAUGGCAGAGGGAGGUGGAAUUCCACGUGUAGCGGUGAAAUGCGUAGAGAUGUGGAGGAACACCGAUGGCGAAGGCAGCCUCCUGGGCCAAUACUGACGCUCAUGCACGAAAGCGUGGGGAGCAAACA